UGUCUGGUGGGUAGUUUGACUGGGGCGGUCUCCUCCUAAAGAGUAACGGAGGAGCACGAAGGUUGGCUAAUCCUGGUCGGACAUCAGGAGGUUAGUGCAAUGGCAUAAGCCAGCUUGACUGCGAGCGUGACGGCGCGAGCAGGUGCGAAAGCAGGUCAUAGUGAUCCGGUGGUUCUGAAUGGAAGGGCCAUCGCUCAACGGAUAAAAGGUACUCCGGGGAUAACAGGCUGAUACCGCCCAAGAGUUCAUAUCGACGGCGGUGUUUGGCACCUCGAUGUCGGCUCAUCACAUCCUGGGGCUGAAGUAGGUCCCAAGGGUAUGGCUGUUCGCCAUUUAAAGUGGUACGCGAGCUGGGUUUAGAACGUCGUGAGACAGUUCGGUCCCUAUCUGCCGUGGGCGCUGGAGAACUGAGGGGGGCUGCUCCUAGUACGAGAGGACCGGAGUGGACGCAUCACUGGUGUUCGGGUUGUCAUGCCAAUGGCACUGCCCGGUAGCUAAAUGCGGAAGAGAUAAGUGCUGAAAGCAUCUAAGCACGAAACUUGCCCCGAGAUGAGUUCUCCCUGAGACUUUAAGUCUCCUGAAGGAACGUUGAAGA
rnacentral:rRNA from 1 species